UUAAUGCAGAAUGUUGCAAAAAGAAAAUAUUGGACGAGAAGAUCCAUCCCAAGCGCAGGGGUACAAGAAGAAAUGAAAUGCAGUCAGAUUACGACAAACAAUUUCUAACAUUAAAGAUCUCAAAAUUGAAAGCACUAAAUGGUAAGUU